UUUAUACAAAUCUUAAAUCAAAUAAUAUAUUUAUUGAUUAUACAAAACAACCUAGAUAAGGAGACUCUAUAUACAAUAUAAAACCCCUGUUCCCGUGUCAUAAUCAGAGCGGAGCUUCACCGACGACUCGACAUCGAAUACCACAAAAUCCUGUAAAAUCUGGACCCCCAACGGUCCAGCACAUAACACAUAAAAGAGAGUUAGUCAACAUACUCA
rnacentral:lncRNA from 1 species